GGCAGGUCAGCAUACUGCCGUGAAUACGUUCCCGGGCCUUGUACACACCGCCCGUCACACCAUGAGAGUUGGGAAUACCCGAAGCCUGUGAGCUAACUUAUAGAGGCAGCAGUCGAAGGUAGAAUCAAUGAUUGGGGUGAAGUCGUAACAAGGUACC
rnacentral:rRNA from 1 species